rnacentral:rRNA from 2 species
CCCGCACAAGCAGCGGAGCAUGUGGUUUAAUUCGAAGCAACGCGAAGAACCUUACCAGGGCUUGACAUCCCUCUGACAGUCCCUUAACCGGGACCUUCUUCGGACAGAGGAGACAGGUGGUGCAUGGUUGUCGUCAGCUCGUGUCGUGAGAUGUUGGGUUAAGUCCCGCAACGAGCGCAACCCUUGUCUUUAGUUGCCAUCAUUCAGUUGGGCACUCUAGAGAGACUGCCGAGGACAAACUCGGAGGAAGGUGGGGAUGACGUCAAAUCAUCAUGCCCCUUAUGUCCUGGGCUACACACGUGCUACAAUGGCUGGUACAAAGAGACGCAAGACCGCGAGGUGGAGCAAAUCUCAAAAACCAGUCCCAGUUCGGAUUGUAGGCUGCAACUCGCCUGCAUGAAGUCGGAGUUGCUAGUAAUCGCAGAUCAGAAUGCUGCGGUGAAUGCGUUCCCGGGUCUU